AGAGUUUGAUCAUGGCUCAGGACGAACGCUGGCGGCGUGCUUAACACAUGCAAGUCGAACGGAAAGGCCCUUCGGGGUACUCGAGUGGCGAACGGGUGAGUAACACGUGGGUGAUCUGCCCUGGACUCUGGGAUAAGCCUGGGAAACUGGGUCUAAUACCGGAUAGGACCGCAUGCUUCAUGGUGUGUGGUGCAAAGCUUUUGCGGUGUGGGAUGAGCCCGCGGCCUAUCAGCUUGUUGGUGGGGUAAUGGCCUACCAAGGCGACGACGGGUAGCCGGCCUGAGAGGGUGACCGGCCACACUGGGACUGAGAUACGGCCCAGACUCCUACGGGAGGCAGCAGUGGGGAAUAUUGCACAAUGGGCGCAAGCCUGAUGCAGCGACGCCGCGUGAGGGACGACGGCCUUCGGGUUGUAAACCUCUUUCAGUAGGGACGAAGCGAAAGUGACGGUACCUACAGAAGAAGGACCGGCCAACUACGUGCCAGCAGCCGCGGUAAUACGUAGGGUCCGAGCGUUGUCCGGAAUUACUGGGCGUAAAGAGCUCGUAGGUGGUUUGUCGCGUUGUUCGUGAAAACUCACAGCUUAACUGUGGGCGUGCGGGCGAUACGGGCAGACUAGAGUACUGCAGGGGAGACUGGAAUUCCUGGUGUAGCGGUGGAAUGCGCAGAUAUCAGGAGGAACACCGGUGGCGAAGGCGGGUCUCUGGGCAGUAACUGACGCUGAGGAGCGAAAGCGUGGGUAGCGAACAGGAUUAGAUACCCUGGUAGUCCAA
rnacentral:rRNA from 1 species